rnacentral:rRNA from 1 species
AACGAACGCUGGCGGCGCGUCUUAAACAUGCAAGUCGAACGAUCUGUAGCAAUACAGGGAGUGGCGGACGGGUGAGGAACACGUAGGAAUCUACCUUGAAGAGCGGGACAACUUUGGGAAACCGGGGCUAAUACCGCAUAGUACAGAGAUGUUAAAGGGCUAGCAAUAGUCGCUUCGAGAUGAGCCUGCGGUCUAUCAGCUUGUUGGUGAGGUAAUGGCUCACCAAGGCUACGACGGAUAGCCGGUCUGAGAGGAUGAUCGGCCACACUGGCACUGAGACACGGGCCAGACUCCUACGGGAGGCAGCAGUUAAGAAUCUUGCGCAAUGGGGGAAACCCUGACGCAGCGACGCCGCGUGAAGGAUGAAGGCUUUCGGGUUGUAAACUUACGUAGACUGGAAGAAGAAUAACGUCGUUGAGGGCAUAUAGUGACGGUACCAGUCUGAAG